rnacentral:rRNA from 1 species
UAGUCUGGUGCCAGCAGCCGCGGUAAUUCCAGCUCCAAUAGCGUAUAUUAAAGUUGUUGCAGUUAAAACGCUCGUAGUCGGAUUUCGGGGCAGGUUUGCCGGUCUGCCGAUGGGUAUGCACUGGUAGAACUGUCCUUCCUUCCGGAGACGGCGCCUACUCUUAACUGAGCGGGUGUCGGAGACGGAUCGUUUACUUUGAAAAAAUCAGAGUGUUUCAAGCAGGCAGCUCGCUUUUGCAUGGAUUAGCAUGGGAUAAUGAAAUAGGACUUUGGUGCUAUUUUGUUGGUUUCGAACACCGAAGUAAUGAUUAACAGGGACAGUCAGGGGCACUCGUAUUCCGCCGAGAGAGGUGAAAUUCUUAGACCAGCGGAAGACGAACCACUGCGAAAGCAUUUGCCAGGGAUGUUUUCACUGAUCAAGAACGAAAGUUAGGGGAUCGAAGACGAUCAGAUACCGUCGUAGCCUUAACCAUAAACCAUGCCGACUAGGGAUUGGAGGAUGUUCCUAUGUGACUCCUUCAGCACCUUUCGGGAAACUAAAGUCUUUGGGUUCCGGGGGGAGUAUGGUCGCAAGGCUGAAACUUAAAGGAAUUGACGGAAGGGCACCACCAGGAGUGGAGCCUGCGGCUUAAUUUGACUCAACACGGGGAAACUUACCAGGUCCAGACAUUGUGAGGAUUGACAGAUUGAGAGCUCUUUCUUGAUUCGAUGGGUGGUGGUGCAUGGCCGUUCUU